UACGUAGGGCGCAAGCGUUAUCCGGAAUUAUUGGGCGUAAAGAGCUCGUAGGCGGUUUGUCGCGUCUGCCGUGAAAGUCCGGGGCUCAACUCCGGAUCUGCGGUGGGUACGGGCAGACUAGAGUGAUGUAGGGGAGACUGGAAUUCCUGGUGUAGCGGUGAAAUGCGCAGAUAUCAGGAGGAACACCGAUGGCGAAGGCGGCAUCCUGGACCGGCAUUGACGCUGAGGCGCGAAAGCGUGGGGAGCGAACAGG
rnacentral:rRNA from 1 species